ACGCGGGGACGACCCUGCGGCUCAAUCGAGUUUUCAAUCUGGGGACGGCCCCG
rnacentral:ncRNA from 1 species